GACGAACGCUGGCGGCGUGCUUAACACAUGCAAGUCGAACGGAAAGGCCCCUUUGGGGGUGCUCGAGUGGCGAACGGGUGAGUAACACGUGGGUGAUCUGCCCUGCACUUUGGGAUAAGCCUGGGAAACUGGGUCUAAUACCGAAUAGGACUCCGGGAUGCAUGUUUCGGGGUGGAAAGCUUUUGCGGUGUGGGAUGGGCCCGCGGCCUAUCAGCUUGUUGGUGGGGUGAUGGCCUACCAAGGCUUCGACGGGUAGCCGGCCUGAGAGGGUGUCCGGCCACACUGGGACUGAGAUACGGCCCAGACUCCUACGGGAGGCAGCAGUGGGGAAUAUUGCACAAUGGGCGCAAGCCUGAUGCAGCGACGCCGCGUGGGGGAUGACGGCCUUCGGGUUGUAAACCUCUUUCAAUAGGGACGAAGCGCAAGUGACGGUACCUAUAGAAGAAGCACCGGCCAACUACGUGCCAGCAGCCGCAGUAAGAC
rnacentral:rRNA from 1 species